UGUAUAAACUUAAAGAAUAAAGCAAAAACAAAGUGAUUCUAAGAAGAGGAACGCAAAAGCAAUGUUCGCUAUUAGCGAAGCUCGGAACCAAUGUUUGACAAUCAGACUUUGGACUUCAGACUUCGGAGUUCAGAGUUCAGACUUCGGAGUUCAGACUUCAGACUUCGGACUUCAGACUUCAGACUUCAGACUUCAGACUUUAGACUUCGGACUUCGGACUUCAGACUUCAGA